AGGGUUGGAAGAUAGUGAACUUGCCUGCUAUCCUAGCUGCCUGGAUCAUGGCCAAGGGCGAGAAACUGGGAGGCCAACCAGUCAUCCACUUGGCGGUGUCUAAGGAAGUGGACAAUGUGUCUGGGAAGUACUUGGUUGACUACAAGGAAGCCCCUUCCUCCACACUGGCACAGGAUCCGAUACUGGCAAGGCGCUUGUGGGAUGCCAGCGAGAAUUUAGUUGACUUUCAAUCUUAAGAAUUAGUCGACCUUCAACCUUGGGAAAUAGCUGACCUGCAAUUAUAAUACCUUUAUAGUCAUCAAUAAAAAAUCGCCGUUAGUCAUUCAAAAUAUGCUUCUUUGACAUUUAGAAAUUCAGAUCAGAAGAAAAAAAAGUGAACGCACAGACCCGGUCAUAUCGAGAAAUGAUUACAUCCCUGUGUCUUUUCUCGUGGAGAGGACUAUUACCGACUUAUUGAAAUCUCGCCACAACACGCUUACCUGAGACUUUUCCAUUUGCUUAAAGAUAAAAACAUGGAAAGAGUAUCCUUGUAUUCUGAGAGUUCAGACCUAGGAAAAUAGGGCAUAUAGGCAAUAGUUAUAGUAAGAGCCCUCGAUAUUUUACUCCCUGAUUUGUAUUCCAUCUCUAGAAAAUUGCAUAUUUUUUCUGCAUAAAUAAAGACUAUACUUACGUAAUUUGCAAUAUUCCAAUACAUUGAAAAAUGA